GACGAACGCUGGCGGCGUGCCUAAUACAUGCAAGUAGAACGCUGAAGAGAGGAGCUUGCUCUUCUUGGAUGAGUUGCGAACGGGUGAGUAACGCGUAGGUAACCUGCCUUGUAGCGGGGGAUAACUAUUGGAAACGAUAGCUAAUACCGCAUAACAAUGGAUGACACAUGUCAUUUAUUUGAAAGGGGCAAUUGCUCCACUACAAGAUGGACCUGCGUUGUAUUAGCUAGUAGGUGAGGUAACGGCUCACCUAGGCGACGAUACAUAGCCGACCUGAGAGGGUGAUCGGCCACACUGGGACUGAGACACGGCCCAGACUCCUACGGGAGGCAGCAGUAGGGAAUCUUCGGCAAUGGGGGCAACCCUGACCGAGCAACGCCGCGUGAGUGAAGAAGGUUUUCGGAUCGUAAAGCUCUGUUGUAAGUCAAGAACGAGUGUGAGAGUGGAAAGUUCACACUGUGACGGUAGCUUACCAGAAAGGGACGGCUAACUACGUGCCAGCAGCCGCGGUAAUACGUAGGUCCCGAGCGUUGUCCGGAUUUAUUGGGCGUAAAGCGAGCGCAGGCGGUUUGAUAAGUCUGAAGUUAAAGGCUGUGGCUCAACCAUAGUUCGCUUUGGAAACUGUCAAACUUGAGUGCAGAAGGGGAGAGUGGAAUUCCAUGUGUAGCGGUGAAAUGCGUAGAUAUAUGGAGGAACACCGGUGGCGAAAGCGGCUCUCUGGUCUGUAACUGACGCUGAGGCUCGAAAGCGUGGGGAGCGAACAGGAUUAGAUACCCUGGUAGUCCACGCCGUAAACGAUGAGUGCUAGGUGUUGGAUCCUUUCCGGGAUUCAGUGCCGCAGCUAACGCAUUAAGCACUCCGCCUGGGGAGUACGACCGCAAGGUUGAAACUCAAAGGAAUUGACGGGGGCCCGCACAAGCGGUGGAGCGUGUGGUUUAAUUCGAAGCAACGCGAAGAACCUUACCAGGUCUUGACAUCCCGAUGCUAUUUCUAGAGAUAGAAAGUUACUUCGGUACAUCGGUGACAGGUGGUGCAUGGUUGUCGUCAGCUCGUGUCGUGAGAUGUUGGGUUAAGUCCCGCAACGAGCGCAACCCCUAUUGUUAGUUGCCAUCAUUCAGUUGGGCACUCUAGCGAGACUGCCGGUAAUAAACCGGAGGAAGGUGGGGAUGACGUCAAAUCAUCAUGCCCCUUAUGACCUGGGCUACACACGUGCUACAAUGGUUGGUACAACGAGUUGCGAGUCGGUGACGGCAAGCUAAUCUCUUAAAGCCAAUCUCAGUUCGGAUUGUAGGCUGCAACUCGCCUACAUGAAGUCGGAAUCGCUAGUAAUCGCGGAUCAGCACGCCGCGGUGAAUACGUUCCCGGGCCU
rnacentral:rRNA from 1 species